rnacentral:rRNA from 1 species
GAUGAACGCUGACAGAAUGCUUAACACAUGCAAGUCAACUGUGGCGGACGGGUGAGUAACGCGUAAAGAACUUGCCUCACAGCUAGGGACAACAUUUGGAAACGAAUGCUAAUACCUGAUACUGUGAGAGAGCUUUGCGUCCCAUUAGCUAGUGGGAGAGGUAACGGCUCACCAAGGCGAUGAUGGUUAGCCGGCCUGAGAGGGUGAUCGGCCACACGGGGACUGGGACACGGCCCUUACUCCUCCGGGAGGCAGCAGUGGGGACUAGUGGACAAUGGACCAAAGUCUGAUCCAGCAAUUCUGUGUGCACGAUGAAGUUUUCGGAAAGUAAAGUGAUUUCAGUUGGGAAGCGGUACCAGCAGAAGAAGUGACGGCUAAAUACGUGCCAGCAGCCGCGGUAAUUC